rnacentral:lncRNA from 1 species
AUAAACCUUCAAAUUCCUUGUGCUAAGUUUCAUAAGUGUCUAACUGAGCUUAAUUAAUUUAGCCACUCAUAGCAAUCGAAACAAAACAAAAAUCAAUUGUAAACAACAUAAAUUACAGACUGAAUCUUGGAGAAGAAAAUUCCUCAAAUCGUCGAGCUUCCCUUCUCUCGAUUAGCUGAAAUCUUGUACUACUGCUACAGCUGCUUGAUCGGUUUUGGCUAGUUCAAUUUGAGCUUCCUCUUUGCUCGAAUGCUACGCUCCUAUGCUGCCGUAUCUUCCUCUGUUUUUCUUCACCUCCUUUUCAGCUGCUGGUCACCUCUAUUUAAGGAGUAAUGAUAUCCUUCAAGUAGAUCAAAAAUAAUUUGAUGUUAUCUCCCUUUUUCCUAGCUGAAACCGUCGCAUAAAAAUAGCUCCAGCCUACUAGAUUUUUACUUCAAUUAAAACUCUUCUAGGCUGAUUUGAUUUCCUUGAAUUAGUUGAGGUCGGCCACCGCUAGCAAGAUGGAAAUUUGGAGAAUUAAAAAUAAUUCUCGUUGUACAUUCGGCCUGCUACUUUCUAUUGGACCGAAUUUUGUCCCAAUGUUAAUUUAAUUCCUUCAGCCAGCAUAUGAUCAUCAUUCAGCAGUUUAUUCAUGCGGAUUAACUUCCAAAAUUGAGCUUAUACGGGCAUCAAAAUGUUCCUUACCUGCACAUGAAAUAAAAUUAAAAUUAAAUUGUUGAAUUGGGGUGCAAUUAAAUUAUUACGGCAUAGAAUGUAUUUAAUCAAUUUAGGCAGAAUUAUAACUUAAUUAACCAAAAAUUAAUCAACAAUUUAAUAAUUUAAUUGAAUAAGUUAGGCUCAAAAUUGAACUUAACAAACUCCCCUAUACUUAAAUUAUUGAUCGUCCCUGAGCAAUCAAGUCGAAUAAAAUCAAGACGAAUUUCAAAAAUAUCAAGUCUAAUCAAGAGUUGUUGCAUCGCCCAUGCUUGGGAUGAAUUUUGAAAUCAACAAUUUAGAUUUUUUUUUUGGUUUAUUCAAGAGAGGAAAAUAUAGAGGAAAUUAAUCAUGCUUCUUUGAUCAAUUCUCACCGGAAAGAAUACAAUUAUUAACACUCCUCACUCAUUGUGUUUAGGCUAGUAUAAUACUCUCAAAUUGAAAUCGACCGUAAUUAACCACCAUAUGCUUGCUUGUCCAUCUUACCUAUAACAUAACACAUAAAAUUCCAUAAAUAUAAUCGAGGCCAAAAUAAAGGUUGUAAUGGGGCCGAGGUAAUGUGCAGUGGACGGAAGGGAUUUAUUUGGACGGUGGAGCUAGUUCUCUUAGGCUAGUAAAAUCAUUCGGAAGUCAUCAAUUCCCUUCUUUCUAUUCUCUUAUUCCUUUCUUUUUCUUUUUUUUCUUUCCGAAAGCAGAUGACUAAUCAGCCUUUCAUCGUUUUCAUCUCCAUACCACUUGAUUCAACUGAUCCAUUUCAUGGUUCGUUCAUAAGAAGGAUGCAACUUAUUGAUAUUAAUAAUUUUUUUAAACGCCAAUCAGCCCUUAAUUUCCAGCUAAAAACCACCCAAAUUGGCCAACAUGUGUCGAAUUUAUGAUAAACUUCCAAAUUGAAUUAAGUAGCCUAAGAAGGUGAGUUGAUUCGGCUUUGGCUCAAUUUCUGGAGGUACAUAAAAAAUGGGGAAAUUAAGGCUUCAAAUUGGUUAACUAAGUGGAAUAAUGUCAAUGUCGGCUUUUAUAAGUAAUCGUGGCUUAAUUCCUAUGGCCUCUUAAAUCAUAUUAAUGGAAUUCAAAUGUAUUACUAUCCUUAAUAAGAUCUAAAGCAAGUUCUAGAGUAAUUGAUAGUCGAUAACAAUAAUCACACAUGAAUGAAUAAUAACCUCUCAAGUUGGCAUGAAUGUCCCAACUUACGCUCUAGGCUCAAAUUCCUCACAAGGACCACAUAAUUGAUCAAUUAAGCAGAUUAAUUUUGUUUUUGUUCCUCUUUUUUUCUUUUUAAAUAAAAUAAAUAAAUUAAAAACAAAGUUUAACCCAACCAAUCGACAAACAACCACCCCAAUCAACUUGAAUUCAUGAAAUACAUCUUCAUUCUUUUAUUUUAAUAUUUUCCUAAAGAAAAUUUAACAAAACUUAUUCAUGAAUGUUAGGUUAGAAAAUUAAUGAAUUGAUUCUUCUCCAUACUUAAUGUUUGCAUUGCCCCUAAUGCAAAAGAAAAUUAAAAUUACCAAUGUAAAGAACAAUAUUAAUGAAAAAGAUGAAAGAAAACUUCCCUGAAAACGUGGGUUGCCUCCCACAAACACCUUCGUUUUAAGUCGUUGGCUCGACAUCACACUUUCUCAUGGAUCCUCAAGAUUGAUCUCCUCCAACCAAGCUACUUGCUCCCCUUCAUGAAAAUGUUUCAACCUAUGACCAUUCACUUUGAAAAUUUUAUUAGUUUCGAGGCUCCGAAUUUCGAUUGCCCCAUGAUGAUGCACCUCGAUUCUUAUAAACGGUCCAAGCCAUCUUGAUUUCAACUUACCGGGAAACAGUUUAAGCUUAGAAUUAAAUAAUAAUACCUUUUCCCCUACCUUGAAUUCUUUGCGAAUUAGCUUUGGGUCACAAAAUGCCUUCGACUUACCUUUGUAGAUGACCGAAUUGUCAUAUGCCUCUAGGUGCAACUCCUCCAACUCUUGCAGCUUCAACUUGCGCUCUUCACCUGCCAAACUAUAAUCCAAAUUGCAUUGCUUAACAGCCCAGAAUGACCUAUGUUCAAGCUCUACGGGAAGGUGAAACGCCGUCCCCAAAACAACCCUAUAAGGUGACAUCCCUAUUGGUGUUUUGUAAGCUGUUCGAACAGCCCACAAUGCUUCAUCUAACCGUUGGCUCCAAUCUUUCCUAUUAGGUUUCACAAUUUUCUCUAAAAUUCCCUUAAUUUCCUUAUUACUACUCUCGGCUUGCCCAUUGGUUUGAGGGUGAUAAGCUGUCGACACUUUGUGGGUGACACCAAAUUGUGCAAAUAAAGCUUUCAAGGUUCUAUUACAGAAAUGUGUUCCCUUGUCACUAAUUAUAGCCCUAGGUACUCCAUAUCUAUUUAAGAUGUUGGUCUUAAGACAUUUCACCACAGUUUUAGCAUCAUCGACCCUAGUUGGAAAUGCUUCUACCCAUUUCGACAAGUAAUCAACACACACAAGAAUGUAUAGAUAACCGAAAGAAGAAGGAAAAGAGCCCAUAAAAUCAAUACCCCAUACAUCAAAUAUAUCACAAACAUAAAAAUUAUGUAAUGGCAUUUGAUUUCUGCUACUUAAAUUACCGGUUUUUUGACAUGAUGUGCAAUUUUUACAAAAUGCAUAUGAAUCUUUAUGAAUAGUCGGCCAAAAUAACCCGCACUCAAGUAUUUUAUGAGUUGUUUUCUUAGGCCCAAAAUGUCCCCCGCCCUCUCGAGAAUGACAAAAAUUAAGCACCGAAUCUAUCUCACUAUCAUCGACACAACGCCUAAUUAUUUGGUCACUACAAAAUCGCCAAAGGUAUGGCUCUUCCCAUAAGUAAAAUCGGGCUUGACUUCUAAUUUUUUCUCUUAAAUGUCUAGGUGCACUCGUAGGGAACUCUCUAGUCACUAAGUAGUUCACUAUGUCGGCAUACCAUGGCAAAACACUAGACACACUAUAAAGUCUCUCAUCGGGAAAUAAAUCACUUGGCUCAUCCCUCAAAAUUCCAGUCUCUAACCUACUCAAAUGAUCGGCCACAAGGUUCUAUUUACCUUUCUUAUCUUUAAUUUCCAGGUCAAAUUCCCGCAACAACAAAAUCCACUUAAUUAGUCGAGGCUUGGCUUUUUUUUUAUGCAACAAAUAUUUAAGAGCACUAUGGUCAGAAAAUACAACAACUUUGACUCCUAACAAAUAUGCUCUAAAUUUUUCUAAUGCAAAGAAUAUGGCAUAGAGCUCUUUCUCGGUCGUGGUGUAACUGCAUUGAGUUGGGUUUAAUAGCUCACUAGCAUACCUAAUAAUAUAAGACUCUCUCCCAUUCUUUUGUCUUAAAGCCGCACCAAUAGCUUUAUCACUAGAAUCACAUAGAAUCUCAAAGGGUAAUGCAUAAUUCGGGCCUUGAAUGAUAGCGGCCGUGAUCAAUUUCAAUUUCAAUUCAUCAAAAGAUUUUUUACAACUCUCAUUAAAUUCGAAGGCAACAUCCUUACCUAGCAAUGCACAUAAAGAGGACGAUAUUUGCGAAAAAUUCUUGAUAAACCGACGGUAAAAACCUACAUGACCCAAGAAAGAUUAAAUUUCUUUCACAUUACUUGGAUAAGAUAGAUUUUUAAUUACCUCGACUUUGGCUUGGUCGACUUCUAAACCUUUAGCUGAGACGACAUGCCCCAAUACUACACCCUUUUCAACCAUGAUAUGACAUUUCUCAAAAUUCAAUAUCAAAUUAGUCUCAAUGCAAUGCCUAAGAACUAACACAAGAUGAUGCAAACAUUGAUCAAAUGAAUCCCCAUAAACAGUAAAGUCAUCCAUGAACACCUCCAUUAAAUGUGAAAUAAAAUCUGAAAAAAUGCUCGUUAUACCUCUUUGAAAAGUGGCUGGUGCGUUGCACAAUCCGAAAGGCAUUCUUUUGAAGGCGUAAGUUCCAAACGGGCAAGUGAAAGUGGUCUUCCCUUGAUCCUCUGGUGCGAUGGGUACCUGUAGAUAACUUGAAUAGCCAUCUAAAAAAAAUGUGAGCGACCAGCUAACCUUUCUAACAUUUGAUCCAUGAAUGGAAGGGGGUAGUGGUCAUUUUUAGUGGCUUUGUUCAGUUUCCUAUAGUCUAUACAAACCCGCCAACCGUUCUGCACUCUUGUGGGAAUCUCUAAUCCUUUUGCGUUGGUAGCUAUUGUGAUUCCCCUUUGUUAGGUACAACAUGAAUUGGACUUACCCAUUUUGAGUCAGCUAUAGGAUAAAUGACACCGGCUUCCAACCAUUUUAAAAUUUCAGUCUUAACUACCUCCAUCAUUGGUGGAUUCAAUCGGCGUUGGGGGUCUCUUUUAGGGACUGAAUCUAGUUCUAAGGCUAUCUUGUGAGUACAUAAAGUCGUACUAAGGCCCCGAAUAUCGGCUAGUGUCCAACCGAAGGCUUCUUUAUGUUCCCUAAGAACUCUAAGUAGCUUGAAUUCUUGCAUUUCGGUUAAAGCAUUCGACACUAUCAAUGGUAAAUUUUGAUUUCCCCCAAAUAAAUGUACUUUAAAUUUUCGGGCAGCUCUUUUAACUCCAAUCUAGGAGGUGAAAUCAAUGAAGGAAUUUGCUUACCAGUCACCGUAAGGUUAGGGAGAAUCGGCUUGGAUUGUGUCAAUUUGGGCGAGUCUAAUGCGCAAACUGAGUCAAUUAAAGAAUCAUAAAUGAUAAAUUCAUGCUUGUCGAUAUCAAAAAUGCUCUUAGCUAGAACGCUUUUCAACUCGUCCUCAUCCCCUAAUUCAUAGACAUCUUAAACAAAAUUGUCAAUUACAUCAAUAGUAAAUACAGGAUUAAUAUCAGUGGGAUAUCUAAUAGCAUCAAAUAUGUUAAAUUUAAUUAUCUCUCCAUCAAAUUCCAUAGUUAAAUUCCCUUUAUGCACAUCAAUUUUCGUUCUAGCUGUCUUGAGAAAAGGUCUUCCUAAGAGUAAGGGUACAUCAAUCGAAUUAUCAUUAGGUCCCAUGUCUAAAACAUAAAAAUCAGUUGGAAAGACUAACUCAUUUACUUGCACUAAAACAUCUUCUAAAACGCCAUCAGGGUAGGCAUUACUUCUAUCCGCAAGUUGAAUUAUUAGUCCCGUGUCUUUUAAUGCACCUAAUUGAACUUUAUCGUAGAUACUCCUAGGCAUGACAUUUAUAGAAGCUCUUAAAUCAAGCAUAGCUCUAUCAAGUUUAAGGUCUCCUAUCUUACAAGGUAUCGAAAACAUUCCCGGAUCUUUGCAUUUAGUUGGGAGUUUCUUUCGAAAUACCGCAGAUACAUUUUCGCCUAAGCUACUUAUUUCAUUUCCACUUAAUUUCCUUUUAGAUGUGCAUAAUUCUUUUAAAAAAUUAGCAUAUCUAGGCACUUGUUUAAUUGCAUCAAUCAAUGGAACAUUAACUUGUACCUUCCGGAAAGUCUCUAGAAUUUCGGCAUUGACGUCGUCUGACUUUUCCUUCCUCAAACGCUGUGGAAAUGGCACCUUCGACACAUAAGACCGAGGUUGGUUAUUAGUGUUCUGGCUUGCUUGUGCUCGAAGCUCGGGAACCCUCGUUUCCUGCUCAAAAUUUGCUGCAUCAUGCAAAGCAGUGGACUAUUGUAAACGUGACUUCCCUACUUCCUUUGGAGUUGCUUGCGACGGUUGUAAAUCAGCCUUUGGCAAGGCUAAAUUUUCCUCUUCAAUAUCACUAAAUCGGACCUUUUUUACCUCAGUUUCGUCUUCCUCUUCACUGUUUUGGAUCUUUUUUAGUGUCGAUCUCAACUCCUUCCUUCUUCGCAAGGUUAUAGCACUGACAUUAUCCCUCAGAUUUGCCACAGUAUAUGACGGUAACCGGUUAUUUACCUGUGCUUGCAAGUUCCCAAGAUUAACGUCGGUCGACGAGGCUCUGGUUUGCAAUUGCUUCACUGCCGAUUCCAAAGACUGAAAUCUUCCAUCGGUUUCCUUCUUCUGGUCAGUCAUCAUCUUCAUCAUUUGUUCAAGCAUGGAAUGGGUAUUGGUUUCGGUACUAGGGUUUUGAUGGGUUAGUUGUGACAUAUUAUAUGGUUGGGAAUUUUACUGCUCAAAUCCUAGAGGCGUAGCUCGAUUUUGAUAUCUAAGAUUAGGGUGAUCUCUCCAUCCCUCAUUAUAAGUAGCCGAAUAUGGAUCAUACCUCCUCUGAUUUGGAAAGACGGCGUUAGCUUCCCCUUCCUGUAAUGUCAGACACAUAUCUAUGGUAUGUCCUUCUAAACAACAAAUGCCACAUAGUGAAGCUUUCGCAGUACCUCCAGUCAUCAACUUACUUACCAUAGUCGUUAAAUUAGCUAAUUGAGCCUCCAUCAUGCUCGACUGGCCUUCAUCCAUUCGUUUACCCAAGGCAGACCUCCUGAGACCGAAUUACUGUGUAUUCUGUGCCAUAUUAACUAUCGAAUUUCGGGCUUGCUCAGGAGUUUUAUCAACCAAUGCACCUCCACUCGCUGCAUCGAUCAUUCCUUGAUCUUGUGGUGUCAACCCUUCAUAAAAAUAUUACACUAAGAGCUGCUCACUAAUCUGAUGCUGUGGGAACUCGCACAUAGCGGUUUAAAUCUUUCCCAGUACUCGUAUAGUGACUCACCUACCAGUUGCUUAAUUCCACAAAUUUCCUUCCUGAUUGACCCUAUUCUUGAUGCCGGAAAAUACUUCUCAAGGAAAGCUUUAUGUAACCCUGUCCAAGUUGUGAAUGAGCCUGGCGGCAUGUAAUAUAACCAGUCCUUUGCCAAACCUUGUAAUGAGAAAGGAAAAGCUCGGAGCUUGAUUUGUUCCUCUUCAAUGCCAUCUGGCUGCAUAGUUGAGCAAGUAAUUAGAAAUUCAUUAAUAUGACGGUAAGGGUCCUCACCUGGUAACCCAUUGAAUUUUGGCAACAAAUUCAAGAAUCCCGAAUUGAGCUUUAAUGGCCUAUCAAGGGCGGGAUACGUGAUAGAUGGUGGUUGCGCAGCCAAGUUAGGAGCGGCCAAUUGCUUCAAUGUCUGGUUAGCCAUGUUCGAAUCCUCUGAAACGUUAGGCUCAAUGUGGGGGUUGGAAUGAUCGGCUUACCGAUUAGUGAUGUUAACAGGGUCUUUCGAUGUUUGUCGUCCACUCCUUAAUAACAUAUACUAAAGGGACUAAUCUACCUGCAUAAACAAAAACAAGAAAACAAAAUAAGUUCUAAAAAUCAAAUAGAUUUGACUACGUCGCUUCCCCAGCAAUGGCGCCAAAAUUUGGUAGCUGUCGUUAUGACCACCGAAUUUAAUCCCCUACUCAACCAAUAUUAACUGGUAAUAUAGAGUAAGUACGGAAUCAUCCCACAAAGAAGCUCGUGUUAAACCUAUUUGAAAAGAAUUGAAAUCAAGUUAAUAUAAACGUAUGCAAGAAAGAAAAAAUGGGGGGGUUUCAAAUAAUGCUCUUUGGUAACAAAUAAAAUGUAGCGUAAUUGUAAAUGCUGAAAGGUUGUCCAAUUAAGAGAAAGAGUGCUCAGUUAGUAACUCCUGAAUCCACCUAGCACAAGUCCUUAGCGUCAUUAAAUUAUUUUAAUAAUCUAAUCUAGCAACAAGGCUGAAGAAAAUCACUUACGAAAUGAGUUCUUAUCCAAAAUAAAUUCAAAUUCAAUUAGAGAACAUUCAUACUUGAAUACCUACCUUUAAUUAUUAAUUAAAAGUGCACUAAGUAUUUUAGUGAUUUCACCUUGCGUUAAUUAAAGAAAAUCCUCCAGCGGCUUCCAAAAUUAAAUCCGAAGUUGCUUCAGUUAGCGGCACGCUAAUUUAUUAUCACUGAUUCUAAGUUUAAUUAAAAAAUUUGAUUACUCAAUUACACUUAGAUGAUUAUGAGAAAAGUCCUAAAUUAGAUAGGCGAUCAAUCUAAUAAAUUUAGAAAAAAAAUUUCCUGAACGAUAAAAUUAGCAACUCAAGAAUGCUAAAUCCAAAUUUAAACAAAAUAAACCUUCAAAUUCCUUGUGCUAAGUUUCAUAAGUGUCUAACUGAGCUUAAUUAAUUUAGCCACUCAUAGCAAUCGAAACGAAACAAAAAUCAAUUGUAAACAACAUAAAUUACAGACUGAAUCUUGGAGAAGAAAAUUCCUCAAAUCGUCGAGCUUCCCUUCUCUCGAUUAGCUGAAAUCUUGUACUGCUGCUACAGCUGCUUGAUCGGUUUUGGCUAGUUCAAUUUGAGCUUCCUCUUUGCUCGAAUGCUACGCUCCUAUGCUGCCGUAUCUUCUUCUGCUUUUCUUCACCUCCUUUUCAGCUGCUGGUUACCUCUAUUUAAGGAGUAAUGAUAUCCUUCAAGUAGAUCAAAAAUAAUUUGAUCUUAUCUCCCUUUUUCCUAGCUGAAACCGUCGCAUAAAAAUAGCUCCAGCCUACUAGAUUUUUACUUUAAUUAAAACUCUUCUAGGCUGAUUUGAUUUCCUUGAAUUAAUUGAGGUCGGCC